GACAGAGGUGGCAAGCGUUGUUCGGAAUUACUGGGCGUAAAGCGUGCGUAGGCGGUGAGGUAAGUCAGCGGUGAAAUCCCUCGGCUUAACCGAGGAACGGCCGCUGAAACUGCUUCACUUGAGUCUGGGAGGGGAGGGUGGAAUUCCCGGUGUAGCGGUGAAAUGCGUAGAGAUCGGGAGGAACACCAGUGGCGAAGGCGGCCCUCUGGAACAGUACUGACGCUGAGGCACGAAAGCGUGGGGAGCGAACAGGAUUAGAACCCGUACGU
rnacentral:rRNA from 1 species